rnacentral:rRNA from 1 species
UACGUAGGGAGCGAGCGUUGUCCGGAUUCAUUGGGCGUAAAGAGCUCGUAGGCGGUUUGUCGCGUCUGCCGUGAAAGUCCGGGGCUCAACUCCGGAUCUGCGGUGGGUACGGGCAGACUAGAGUGAUGUAGGGGAGACUGGAAUUCCUGGUGUAGCGGUGAAAUGCGCAGAUAUCAGGAGGAACACCGAUGGCGAAGGCAGGUCUCUGGGCAUUAACUGACGCUGAGGAGCGAAAGCAUGGGGAGCGAACAGG